ACUCAAAUGAAUUGACGGGGGCCCGCACAAGCAGCGGAGCGUGUGGUUUAAUUCGAUGAUACACGAAGAACCUUACCAGGGUUUGACAUGCGCGUAGUAGGGAAGCGAAAGCGGACCGACCCUUCGGGGAGCGCGCACAGGUGCUGCAUGGCUGUCGUCAGCUCGUGCCGUGAGGUGUUAGGUUAAGUCCUAUAACGAGCGCAGCCCUUACUGCCAGUUACACGUGUCUGGCGGGACUGCCGGUCAUAAGCCGGAGGAAGGUGGGGAUGACGUCAAGUCAGCAUGGCCUUUAUAUCCUGGGCGACACACACGCUACAAUGGCUGGUACAAUGGGCUGCCAAGCCGCGAGGCGGAGCCAAUCCCACAAAACCAGCCUCAGUUCGGAUUGCAGGCUGCAACUCGCCUGCAUGAAGUCGGAGUUGCUAGUAAACGCGCGUCAGCCAUAGUGCGUUGAAUACGUUCCCGGGCCUUGUACACACCGCCCGU
rnacentral:rRNA from 1 species